UACGAAGGGGGCUAGCGUUGUUCGGAAUUACUGGGCGUAAAGCGCACGUAGGCGGAUAUUUAAGUCGGGGGUGAAAUCCCGGGGCUCAACCCCGGAACUGCCUUCGAUACUGGGUAUCUUGAGUUCGGAAGAGGUGAGUGGAAUUGCGAGUGUAGAGGUGAAAUUCGUAGAUAUUCGCAGGAACACCAGUGGCGAAGGCGGCUCACUGGUCCGAUACUGACGCUGAGGUGCGAAAGCGUGGGGAGCAAAUAGG
rnacentral:rRNA from 1 species